AGGAGCUGUAUGAAUCGAGAGAUUCACGUACGGAGUCUGUGAGGAGCUGGAGGUGAAAUUCCUCCGGCUUACUCGAC
rnacentral:misc_RNA from 1 species